rnacentral:lncRNA from 1 species
AUUUAAUACUCAGUUAAGAGAUUAAAUUAUUAGAAAGUCUCAAUGCUUUAAAUAUUAUCUGUUUGAAAUUAUUAUACAAAUACAUGACAAUGCUAAAUUAAACAACUAUGUCCAAUAGAAUAGAAGUGAACUUUGUCCAAGUGGAUAACGAAUAUUCUUUGAAUUGUAAAGCAAAGCACCUAGAUAAACAGAAUGUAGAAUGUCACUCCCACUAUGUCUCUCUCUCUCUCUUAAUGCCGUUUCAAGUCAGGGCAAUAAAAACGGUCCAUUCAUUUUUCUUCCUAAAUUUUUUAAUGUUACAAUAUUUAAUCAAACAUAUUUAUGGGAGUGUUUGUAAGAAUAGCAAUGACUGAAAAAAUAUUUACUUUCAUAAACAAAGAUAAAGUUUAUUUGUGUCAUUUUUUAAAUAUUGUUGUUCAUAAAUUGUUUAGAAUAAUAUAAAAAACAAUAUCUACCUCAAAAAAAUCAAACCAUAAUUUUUGCCAAAGGAAAAACUUGUAUUGAAUAAGACAGUAUCAUCGUCAUUGUCAC